rnacentral:rRNA from 1 species
AGAGGGAAAUAAUAGUAGUAACAAGGUUUCCGUAGGUGA